GUCCCCUGGUGGUCAGUGAGCUCCCAUAAGUGGGCGUGCCGCUCAGCAAGAAGCUGGUUCACGGCUGGCGAGCGCUGCUGUGGUGGCAUCAGAAAUCUCUCUCCUG